AUCUUAUUUUACACUUCAGGAAACACCAGGAGGUCACAGGACUUGUCCCAUCAUCCUCACAAGGAAAACUGUGAAGGUUGCAAUAUCAAUCAAGAGUCUAAACCAGACUGUCUUUGAGUGACCUGCAGUUUCAAGCAGGACACAAGAAAGGUGAAGAUGAAUUUGCAGAAAAAAAAAUUUACCCUAAUACCCGAAAAAUCUCUCGAAAAUGAGCAUAUUCCUGUAGAACAGCAGUGGAUACAUAAUGAUCAACAUUAUGGUGACCUAGUUUGAGCCAAAUUCUUUCUGCUUAUGAGGAAGAGAGAGGUAUGUAAAUCACCAGACCCAGGGGGAGCAAAUGAUGUAGCAAGAUACAAGAGAACAUUGACUCCACCCUAACAAUGAGAACAAUCUGUACUGUCUAUAAACUCACAACUUUUCUUCAGCUUAUCAGAGAGUGAGAUUGCAAGACAACUAGGUGGAUUGAAUUCCAAAGGGUGACAAGCCCCCCUGUGAAGAAUGGAGAUAGGAAAUAUUUCACCUUUGACAGAAUAUUGGAGGAAGAGACAGCCACCAUAAAAGAGGGUCAGAAGAAAACAGCUGAAAAUUCAACAAAUUCCCAAUGGCAGACUCCAAGUUAACUUGACAGUUUGGAGCAGGGGUCAACAAACCUUAGCCCAUGAGCCAAAUCCAGCUUUCUGCUUACUUUCUAUAUUUUUAAAUCACUGGGAAGCACUCAU